rnacentral:rRNA from 1 species
GAUGAACACUAGCUACAGGCUUAACACAUGCAAGUCGAGGGGUAACGAGAGGAAAGCUUGCUUUCCUUGUCGACGACCGGCGCACGGGUGAGUAACGCGUAUCCAACCUGCCCCCAACUAGGGAAUAACCUUGCGAAAGUAAGACUAAUACCCUAUAAUUUCCUCAGAUGUCAUCUGACGAGGAAUAAAGAUUUAUCGGUUGUGGAUGGGGAUGCGUCUGAUUAGCUUGUUGGCGGGGUAACGGCCCACCAAGGCAACGAUCAGUAGGGGUUUUGAGAGGAAGGUACCCAACAUUGGAACGGAGACACGGUCCAAACUCCUACGGGAGGCAGCAGUGAGGAAUAUUGGUCAAUGGGCGGAAGCCUGAACCAGCCAAGUAGCGUGCAGGAUGACGGCCCUAUGGGUUGUAAACUGCUUUUAUACAGGAAUAAAGUUAGCCACGUGUGGUUAUUUGUAGGUACUGUAUGAAUAAGGACCGGCUAAUUCCGUGCCAGCCGCCGCAGUAA